rnacentral:rRNA from 1 species
AUGCAAGUCGAGCGGGGGAAGGUAGCUUGCUACCGGACCUAGCGGCGGACGGGUGAGUAAUGCUUAGGAAUCUGCCUAUUAGUGGGGGACAACAUCUCGAAAGGGAUGCUAAUACCGCAUACGUCCUACGGGAGAAAGCAGGGGAUCUUCGGACCUUGCGCUAAUAGAUGAGCCUAAGUCGGAUUAGCUAGUUGGUGGGGUAAAGGCCUACCAAGGCGACGAUCUGUAGCGGGUCUGAGAGGAUGAUCCGCCACACUGGGACUGAGACACGGCCCAGACUCCUACGGGAGGCAGCAGUGGGGAAUAUUGGACAAUGGGGGGAACCCUGAUCCAGCCAUGCCGCGUGUGUGAAGAAGGCCUUAUGGUUGUAAAGCACUUUAAGCGAGGAGGAGGCUACUUUAGUUAAUACCUAGAGAUAGUGGACGUUACUCGCAGAAUAAGCACCGGCUAACUCUGUGCCAGCAGCCGCGGUAAUACAGAGGGUGCGAGCGUUAAUCGGAUUUACUGGGCGUAAAGCGUGCGUAGGCGGCUUAUUAAGUCGGAUGUGAAAUCCCCGAGCUUAACUUGGGAAUUGCAUUCGAUACUGGUGAGCUAGAGUAUGGGAGAGGAUGGUAGAAUUCCAGGUGUAGCGGUGAAAUGCGUAGAGAUCUGGAGGAAUACCGAUGGCGAAGGCA